UCCCCCUACAUCCCUGUUGCUUUCCGGCAAAUCAUGUGCCAUCAUCUGAACAAAUCAUGACACUUGACCUUCGAAGUCGGCAGCGUAGUGUCCCAUCCAGGGUGGACCAUUGGUCUGAUGAUGCCUCCUCCUGGCGAGGCCUGCCCAGGAGACGUGCUGAGGAAGUGCUGGUCAGAGGGCGCUGAGAUCCCUGCUGGAGACAGCUGGUGAGCUCGUCCAGGGGCACGUUGGUCCAGUGCUCCAGAAGGCAUAAGCGAUUAGGUCUAAGACUUUCAAACUGAAUCAGAGAGAAACCCAAACUGAGGUUUUUCCAGCAAAGCUAGGUUUUGAACUAAGCUGUAACAGAAAAUGAAACUUGCUCUGGGAGCCACUUGGCCGCGGGAAUGUCUCUUAUACCUGAGGCCACUGCACGCGUCUCCCCUCCUGUCCCUUGUCUUCUGGAGCCCCUCCUCCACUCGUGGAACAAGCCCUCUGAGGGUCCCGCUGUGGGCAGGCUGUGCUCAGGGUCAGGGUCAGGGCCCCUGUCCCCAGCUCUCAGCUGGUGUGGGGGCGUCCCCAUGGGAAGGCCCUCUGGUUGUGGAGAGCUGGCUCCUGGAGCUCCCCUGACAGCUUCUGGGAAGGAGACGCAGCCUGUCUCCGACCUCAUCUAUAGGUCUUUGACGGCCGGGAAUGUCAUGGACAAGGAAGCCUGGUGUGCUGCAGUCCUUGGGGUCACACAGAGGUGGACACAACUUAGUAACUGAACAAGUGCCAUUCUAGCCAUCUGCAGGCUAAAUCAGAGUUCCAUAAAGAAGAGCUCCCAGAAAUACGUUUCCCAAAGAAAGCCCCUCCUUAAGGAAAACAGAGCACACUGAAAGACGUAAUAACACUCAGCGAAGUCAGGCCAGGCAGAGGGAAGCAGAGCUGAGCCGGUGUCUGAGACUGCCUGCAGACAGCCAGCUCCUCAGCACAGUUCCUCUCUUCUAACAGUCUCACGGUUGUUAUGGAAUGUUGGCCAUACCCUGUGUGCUAUGUGGUGGUCCUUAUGUGUUUGUGAGUUGGAGCUUUGGUCAGUCUAAAACGACAGUCAUAGGCUUGGGAUUUUAGAACCAAAGGAAGCUUUAAACUUCUUGUUUUCCUUAUUUAUUGGCCACACUGCACGGCUUGCAGGACCUUGGUGCCCUGGCCAGGGAUUGGAGUGGGUCCCAGCAGUGAAAGCACCGAGUCCAAGCCCCUGGAGCUCCGGGGGUCCCUGAGCGCCUCCCUUGGAGCUCAUAGGAAGCCCCAGGGGAAGUGCGCACAGCUGUGUGUGGACUCUGCACCUGAGUGUGCGCCCGUCGCGUGUCUGACGCACUGUCACGGCGAGAGGAGCGCAGGCCUGGCCCAGCAGCCCAGCUGCUCUGCAGGAGAUGCUUGCAUUUUCUCGUCUGUAAAUGGGGUUGAUGAUAGUGUCGACCUCUUAGAGUCAUGAAAUGAAAAACACUUAGUACACUGAAAUAGCUAGAGAUGAGUCACGGCCAUUCAGACUAUUUUUCGAAUCUUGGAAUACUCUCACUGACCUAAGGACACUCUGAUUUUGAGGUUGGCUGUUAAGUUAUCCAUAAAGGAUGGAUUUUUUUGGAGUCAGAGAAGUAGCCCCGGCUCUAGCACGCGCCUGUGCUCUGAGAGUGGACCUGAUGGGUUUUGAGAAGUAAAGCUUAAAGGGAAUGCCGAGGUGCCGGAGAGCCAGGUGGAGCCGGGAGGAAGGCGAGCUCGGGGCGCCUGUGCGUGCCGUGUGCUCAGCAGCCCCCAGGCUCUGCCGGCCGCCCUCCCGCUCCUGCGCCCGGCCGCCUUCCCGCUCGUCUGCACACGCGCACACACUCACACACACUCACACGCCACCCCCACUCGCUUGGAGUAGGUGGCAGCCUCCCCUCCUGUUUGCUCGAGUUUCCUCAGCCUUGCUCCUGGCGCUCUGCUGGAUGCUGUCCCCUCCGUCAGGCAGGACUCUGCCUUGUUGCCCAGCCCCCUGAAGGCCCUCGUCUGCUGGCAGGCACCCAGCAGGCUCUGCCUGUGCCGCCGCUGGGUAGUGUGUUUGCUGUUCUCCUUUUAGGUAAAAGCCGAGGCCUGUUUUGCUUUCUCUUCUCUCCCGGGCCCGAUUGCCUAAUAAGGCUCCAUCAGUUUAGGUCACGCUGUUGCCGAGCAGAGCUCAGUGAAGUGCACAUGUACUCGUCUCUCAGACCCUGCAGUGUCGGGGCCGCGGCCCCGUCGCAUCAGUGGAUUCUGCCUCAGGCAGGAAUCUGUCAGAUGGAGUAAACUGGCCUUCAGGGCAUCUGUGUGGCCCCCACUCAGAGGUCCAAGGGUGCGGCAGGUUCAUCAGCUGCUGAGGGGAGGACGCUUAGCCUCCGAGCUUUCCACUUACCCCGGUCUCUCCCUCCUGCCUCUGGCCACCUUCACGGCCUCCAGUUUCAUCACGACCUGUGACCUUGCGCCUCGCCGUUAGAGGCUUGAAACGCGGCUGUAGCUUGUUUUCUGCGAUCAGGCGUGUGCUCCGCUACAGAAAGCACGUGACGUACAGACGUGCGAGAGCUUCUAGAGCAGGUUGUCCUGUAGGGGUCGCUGUGGGCGAGAUGCUGUGCCUGCGUCCGCGGGUGGGGCCGGGGAAGCCAGGCCUCCCCAUGCCCCUGAACACAGCUGUCCUGCCGCUGGGCUUCUGCCCGCCGCCCUGCACAGUCAGGGGUGAAAGCCUCUCCGUCAUCCGAGUUCAAAGCCAGACUUAACUCUGUGUGUGAGCUCACAUUUUUUGGCAAAGGGAGCUUCUAAAAGUGCACCACGUCGGUCGAGGAGAAGCUGCUUGCACGUGGGUUGACCGCAUCCCCAGCCGCGUGGCCUCUUGUGCGAGGACAUCGUCAUUCGGCAGCCCCCGCCCUGCACACCCCAUCACCACUGCCGUGAGCCUUCAGGAUGCUGCUUGGGGUCCACCUCUGGCUGCCUCAUGACGCCUCCUGGUGUUCUUGGCCCCCAGAUUUGCACAUUGAAACACAUACUUCAUUUUCAGUGAUUUCCCUUUGUCUCUUCUCCAUGUUUUACUAUUGAUUUUUUGUGAUUUUAGCUGAGUUUUACCUCUUAAGAAUUUGAUUUCAGAAUAGUCAUAGUUGGUGGGGAGUACAAAAUGUUUGUUAUAAGAGGCGAUUCCUACCGCUAUAAAGAGUGAAAAUAAAGUUGUUCACUCAAAUGA